CCUUCGAUAGCUCAGUUGGUAGAGCGGAGGACUGUAGAGGCGAAAGCUGAAAUCCUUAGGUCGCUGGUUCGAAUCCGGCUCGAAGGA
rnacentral:tRNA from 1 species